GAAUUAUGUGCAUAAGGUUUCGUAGUGUAGUGGUUAGCACUGAGGACUUUGAAUCCUCCAACCCGGGUUCGA
rnacentral:tRNA from 2 species